GGGCUAUUGACACCGGAGUGCAGACGAGCAAGGUGAGCAUUUUCCUGGCAGUAAGAAUCAGGUGGUACUUGUGGCGCCUUGUAAUUUUGGUGAAUCUAAGCACAUCCUUUGUCAUUUGCUUUUUUUCCGGUGGUGCACAAGCUGACAAGCGUCAGCAGAAUAGGAAGGAGGUCUUUGCAGUAAGAGUGGCCAUCCGUAUUGCCAGAGGAGCAGAGCCACGGGUCGAGGAGCGGAGCGACAAGGUCAAGUGCUUUGGUGCUGGCCUGGUGGGGAAUGGCAGGGUAGUUCAGGGCUGGGCAUUUAAGCGUUGCCUUCUU